UACAGAGACUGCAAGCGUUAUUCGGAUUCACUGGGCGUAAAGGGUGCGCAGGCGGUUGGGUGUGUCAGAUGUGAAAUCCCGAGGCUUAACCUCGGAACUGCGUCUGAAACUACUCAACUAGAGUACUGGAGAGGGUAACGGAAUUCACGGUGUAGCAGUGAAAUGCGUAGAUAUCGUGAGGAACACCAGAGGCGAAGGCGGUUACCUGGACAGUUACUGACGCUCAGGCACGAAAGCAUGGGGAGCAAAAGGG
rnacentral:rRNA from 1 species